UACGUAGGGUCCGAGCGUUGUCCGGAGUUACUGGGCGUAAAGCGCGCGCAGGCGGCCCGGCAAGCAUGGCGUGAAAGCCCCCGGCUCAACCGGGGAGGGUCGUCGUGGACUGCCGGGCUUGAGGGCGGUAGGGGUUGGUGGAAUGCCCGGUGUAGUGGUGAAAUGCGUAGAGAUCGGGCGGAACACCAGUGGCGAAGGCGACUUCCUGGCCUGUUCUUGACGCUGAGGCGCGAAAGCUAGGGGAGCAAACGGG
rnacentral:rRNA from 1 species